rnacentral:lncRNA from 1 species
UCGAUCAUCUAUAAAUAUACUGAAUAAUCCCUUUAGAUUAAAGAGUAUUAAACACUUCUAUCGAUUGAGAAAACAAAAUGAUUUUUCAGUAUUUUUUUUUAAUAGCAAAACAACUAGAUAUAUAAAAACGGAAAAAUACCAAUAAUACAAGUCAACUAAGAGCACUAGAAGUGCAUUCAAGAAAAAGAAUUCACGUAAAAAUAAAAAUAAAAACAACUCACAUAAAAAAAACAUUUACCACUCAAACCAA